GACGAACGCUGGCGGCAUGCUUAACACAUGCAAGUCGAACGGAAAGGCCCUGCUUUUGUGGGGUGCUCGAGUGGCGAACGGGUGAGUAACACGUGAGUAACCUGCCCUUGACUUUUGGAUAACUUCAGGAAACUGGGGCUAAUACCCGAUAGGAGCUCCUGCUGCAUGGUGGGGGUUGGAAAGUUUCGGCGGUUGGGGAUGGACUCGCGGCUUAUCAGCUUGUUGGUGGGGUAGUGGCUUACCAAGGCUUUGACGGGUAGCCGGCCUGAGAGGGUGACCGGCCACAUUGGGACUGAGAUACGGCCCAGACUCCUACGGGAGGCAGCAGUGGGGAAUAUUGCACAAUGGGCGGAAGCCUGAUGCAGCAACGCCGCGUGCGGGAUGACGGCCUUCGGGUUGUAAACCGCUUUCGCCUGUGACGAAGCGUGAGUGACGGUAAUGGGUAAAGAAGCACCGGCUAACUACGUG
rnacentral:rRNA from 1 species